GGGGUGCCUUGGGUAAUGGGGCAUGGCUUUAGCUUUUGGUUGCGGGGAUGCCGGGAGUAAGCUGGCAUUUGAUGGUGGUGGUGGUAGCAGUGAUGUUUAUUUCUUAGAAUUCGACAGUACUGAUCGCCAUUGAGAGAACGAAGAAUUGGGACCAUCGGUCAGUACUGGUUGCCAUCAAGAAAAGGAAGGAACGCUGCCAGGUUAAUUAGGAGAAAGAAGAGAUCAGACACCAUAAUUCCCAUGCUUCCACAUAAGUUGAAAGGCAUAAAGGAGGGUGUUAUCAAAGAGUUGGGUUCGGGUUGGUGAUGGGUCGACAGUGGCUCAUUCAUACUACAAUAAGCUAGA
rnacentral:lncRNA from 1 species